GACGAACGCUGGCGGCGCGCUUAACACAUGCAAGUCGAGCGAAGCGGCGGACGGGUGAGUAACACGUGAGUAACCUGCCUUAGACAUUGGGAUAGCCUCGGGAAACCGGGAUUAAUACCAAAUGGUCUAAGAUGGACUCGCGUCCCAUUAGCUAGUUGGUGGGUAACGGCCCACCAAUGCGACGAUGGGUAGCCGGACGGAGAGGGUGAACGGCGACAUGUGAACUGAGAAACGGUCCAAACGCUACGGGAGGCAGCAGUGGGGAAUAUUGCACAAUGGAGGGAACUCUGAGGCAGCGACGCCUCGUGAACGAAGAAGGCGUGCGAGUCGUAAAGUUCUUUUAUAUGGGAAGCGGUACCAUAAGAAAAAGCCCCGGCUAACUACGUGCCAGCCGCCGCGGUAAUAC
rnacentral:rRNA from 1 species